UUGAAAGUUUCUAGUGGCGAACGGGUGCGUAACACGUGAGCAACCUGCCCGGAAGAGGGGGAUAGCUCGAGGAAACUCGAAUUAAUACCGCAUGUGGUCCAGCAGGACAUCCUGCAAGGACUAAAGGUGGGGAUCUUCGGACCUGCCACUUCCGGAUGGGCUCGCGGCCUAUCAGCUUGUUGGUGAGGUAACGGCUCACCAAGGCUACGACGGGUAACUGGUCUGAGAGGAUGAUCAGUCACACUGGAACUGAGACACGGUCCAGACACCUACGGGUGGCAGCAGUCGAGAAUCAUUCGCAAUGGGGGAAACCCUGACGGUGCGACGCCGCGUGGAGGAUGACGGCCCUCGGGUUGUAAACUCCUGUCAUCAGAGAGUAAGGUUUUCCGGUUAAUAGCCGGAGGAAUUGAUAGUAUCUGAAGAGGAAGGGACGGCUAACUUCGUGCCAGCAGCCGCGGUAAUACGAAGGUCCCAAGCGUUGUUCGGAUUUACUGGGCGUAAAGAGUACGUAGGCGGCAAGGUAAGUCAGAUGUGAAAGCCCGGGGCUCAACCUCGGAACUGCAUCCGAUACUGCCUGGCUUGAGUAGUGGAGGGGAGUCUGGAAUUCACGGUGUAGCAGUGAAAUGCGUAGAUAUCGUGAGGAACACUAGUGGCGAAGGCGAGACUCUGGACACUUACUGACGCUGAGGUACGAAGGCCAGGGUAGCGAAAAGGAUUAGAUACCCUUGUAGUCCUGGCAGUAAACGGUGCUCGCUUGGUGUGGGGCGGUUCGACCCGUUCCGUGCCGGAGCUAACGCGUUAAGCGAGCCGCCUGGGGAGUACGGCCGCAAGGCUAAAACUCAAAGAAAUUGACGGGGACCCGCACAA
rnacentral:rRNA from 1 species